CUUAAUUUUCGCUUACCCAGGAUUAUAUCCAUCGAAAGUUUUGGUGUUUAGGCCUUAGAGCUCUCUCUUUCUCUCCCAGAGACAUCAACCCCAAAAUCCAUCGUCUCUCUCUAACCCAGAGACCUCAAACACCGAAAGUCAUCAGAAUCCCAACGAUUUGCAGAUUGGUUUUGCAUAGAUGGGAAAUCGCUCUCCUCCGCCGAUAACAAUCCGAGGUUGAGAUUUUGGGUUGAAGUCUAGCUCCAUCCUAUGCUGGUAUGCCUCUCUAUGAAGCAAUGGUUUCGCAUUUGGUUUAUGAGAUUCACGAUUUAGAUUCGGAAUGUUCAUCUAUGUAAACCGAUGCUAGCUGUGGUUAAAGUUACGAUUUGGGGUUGAAGAACAGACCCGCUGCAACAGGGUUUGCACAGAAAGAAGAAGGAGGGCAGGAGAAUGGUUUGGUUGUCAGUGCAGAGACACCAUCGGUCUCACUUCUCUCUCCUUUUCUCUCUUUUGAUGACCUUAAUUUGAUCAACGUUUAAAGCUUUAGGUGAAAUGGUUAGUACCCAUGCGGUGGUUUUUGUAGUAUGAGAGAAGGUUGCACAACCAAAAGGUGCAUUGCAAGUUUCGGCUUCGAGUACGAUUAAGAUUCUGACAAUGGGAGGCCCUAGAUUUAUUGGUGUCUUCUUGUCUAGGCUCCUUGUCCAAGAGGGCCAUCAGUUGCUUACCCAGUACUACAUAGCUCUGGUAAUUCCACUAUCUUAACUUUAAUUCAUGCUUUCCCUAGAAAUUUACUAUUGAAAUAACCCUGUCUGUAAGCCUUCAUCUCUCAGUCUCUCUUAUAAAAAAAAUGUCCUUCAUCUCCAAAGCUGUAUACUUCGGUUGUACAUGAUAAUUUCCUCUUACAUUAAUUCUAUACUGACAAAUUUACCUUGUGAGUUUACUGUUGCAGAAGAUUCUAGUUCAGGAAAUAAUUUGUUUUGCCUAAUUCGCAUACCCCAAGUCUAAUCCUUGUCAAGCUUAUGAGUUAUGAAUAUGGUAGAAUUAGCUUGAUUAUGAAUCUCUUUGGCAUUGUAGCUAGACCCAGUGAAAUUAAUCUAUUUGUAGGGUCUAAUUUUUUUUUCCAUAAUUAUAUCCGUAUUCAUGUGUCCAAGUGACAAGGUAUGUUGAUUUUGAUCAUCAUUUGCACAACAGUAUAAUUUUGUGUUUUGUACAGCUUUAGACAAGAAGCAUCGUAGUGUUGGUGUUGCAGACCCUGUACUAUGAUUACUUUUAUUCAUGGUGGAAAUGUGGCAAAGUCUCAGUGAACCAAUUGGCACAAGAUGAGAAAGAAGAUUAGUGAAAACCAUUGAAUCCUGAGUCAGUUGAUUCUGCAGGCGUCCCAAUACCGAAUGCGUCUCAAAGCCACUCAUAGAAAAGAGUUAUACUAUAUGUAGCUUAGCUUAUCCUAUUUACGAGUAUUAUUGAAUCCCAAAAGAUUAAUAUGUGAAAAAAACAAUAAGGCCAACAAUGUUGAUAAUUUUAAUAGGCCAACAAAGUUGUGAUAUGUGCAAGUGUGUGAUGGAAUACUAGACGUGUUGUAGACUUGUAGUUUGUGAGUUUUAGAGUGAUUAAAUUAACGGUGGUGUGUGCAGAUGGCCGUGACAACAUAUAGUACGUCUCUUCCUGCUGCCAAAAGAUAUAUAAACGGCAAUGAGAAAGAGUAUAACUCAUGCAAUGAAAGCCAUCAAAGACAGAAAACAAUACUAGUCUUUAUCCCUUAUUGUAAUGUUCUCCAUUCCCUAUCAUUGGUUUUAUAAUUAGCAGUUGUAUGUGUUGUAAUUGGACAUGAGUAUCGUAGAUUGAGUAUUUCUUAUUUGAUUAAAGUACAGAGUGUAAUUGGACGACCUAUAAAGGCAUUGUCAUGACUGUCA